rnacentral:rRNA from 1 species
CGCCUGUUUAUCAAAAACAUGGCCUUUUGUUAAAAAUAUAAGGUCUAGCCUGCCCACUGAAAAUUAAAUGGCCGCGGUAAUUUGACCGUGCUAAGGCAGCAUAAUCAUUAGUUUUUUAAUUGAAAGCUUGUAUGAAUGGUUGGAUGAGAAAAUAACUGUCUCUUUAAAAUUAUUUUUAAAUUUUAUUUUUAAGUAAAAAAGCUUAAAUGGUUUAAAAAGACGAGAAGACCCUAUAGAGUUUUAUAUAAUUUAGUAUUUAUGUUUUUAGUAUUAUAACCUUAAAUAUUAAAUUUUAUUUGAUUGGGGUGAUUGAAAAAUUGAAGAAACUUUUUUUAUAUUAUUACAUUAAUUUAUGAAUUUUUGAUCCAUAAAAAUGAUUAUAAGAUUAAAUUACCUUAGGGAUAACAGCGUAAUUUUUUUUUAGAGUUCAAAUCGAAAAAAGAGUUUGCGACCUCGAUGUUGGAUUAAAGUUAAUUUUUGGUGUAGAAGCUAAAAUAUUAGGUCUGUUCGACCUUUAAAACUUUACAUGAUCUGAGUUCAAACCG